AUUUUCGAUUUUUGGGGGAACAAAAUUCAACUCAUAGCAUAGGGAGAGAAAGUAAAGGGGUGGGGAAUAACAAAAAAAUGAGAAGUCCAUCUUCUGAGGUCCAUCUUCCUAAAACCCCUGUUUCUGUUCUACUCAGUUGGUCUG
rnacentral:lncRNA from 1 species